rnacentral:lncRNA from 1 species
AUCUUUCUUGGUGUUCCCGGCUGUGUUUUAUCAAUCAAUUUUCUCCCUUUUCUCACUUUGGUAUUCCACUGUUACAUUACACACCAAACGAAACUCAAACAAUAUGGAAAAAGGUAACAUUUUUACCUAAGUAAUAUAUGAAAAGGUAUACAUUUUUGUAAUCUAAAUUAUAUGAAAAGAAUGGGGUAACUGAAUCCCAGCGACACCCCUAUUGAUAAGGUAUUGAAGUGGCCCCACCUAGCAAUACGCAUUAUAGUAAAUUUCUUACUUUUUAUGCCUGUUUGUAAAGGUUAUAUCCGUCAGCUAUUCCUUUUUCCUAUUUUUAAGAGAAUAUCUCUUUACGGGAUAAAUUACUAUUUUCGUAAGAUGUCAAGUUAUAUAUAGUAAUUUGUAUUGUCUUUCGUGUAAAUACAGAUUGUUAACCUUUUUAUUAUAUAACAUCUGUGCUCUGAAUUUUAUUGAAUAUUACAUAUUGUAUAGUGCAAAUGACAGGCUGUUACUAUGUAAUUACAGCGUAAACAAGUUACUUUGUUUUACAGCAUAUAAAAAGUUGCAACCCC